rnacentral:rRNA from 1 species
UACGUAGGGUGCGAGCGUUGUCCGGAAUUAUUGGGCGUAAAGGGCUCGUAGGCGGUUUGUCGCGUCGGGAGUGAAAACCCGGGGCUUAACCCUGGGCUGGCAGUGGAUACGGACAGACUAGAGGUAGGUAGGGGAGAAUGGAAUUCCCGGUGUAGCGGUGAAAUGCGUAGAGAUGUGGAGGAACACCAGUGGCGAAGGCGACUCUUUGGCCUGUAACUGACACUGAGGCGCGAAAGCGUGGGGAGCAAACAGG